AAAGUGCAGCUUAUGACRRGGAGAUGAUGGGUUACACCCUAAAUAAAGAUACCAAUUGUAGCACCAAAAGUUACAUGAAGGUGGACUUGAACGUAAUUAUAAUUCCAUGUUAUAAUAAAAACGAAUCUAAGACAUGCACACAUCGCCCGUCACUCUCGCCUAAAGGCGAGAUAAGUCGUAACAAAGUAGGUGUAACGGAAGUUGCACCUGU
rnacentral:rRNA from 1 species